CUACGGGCGGCUGCAGUGAGGAGUAUUGCACAAUGGGGGGAACCCUGAUGCAGCAACGCCGCGUGGAGGAUGACGCAUUUCGGUGUGUAAACUCCUUUUAUAUGUCAAGAAAAUGACGGCAGCAUAUGAAUAAGCACCGGCUAACUCCGUGCCAGCAGCCGCGGUAAUACGGAGGGGUGCAGGCGUUACUCGGAAUCACUGGGCGUAAAGGACGCGUAGGCGGGUUGGAAAGUCAGGUGUGAAAUCCUACAGCUUAACUGUAGAACUGCACUUGAAACUUCUAAUCUAGAGUAUGGGAGGGGGAGAUGGAAUUAGUGGUGUAGGGGUAAAAUCCGUAGAUAUCACUAGGAAUACCUAAAGCGAAGGCGAUCCCCUGGAACAUUACUGACGCUAAGGCGUGAAAGCAUGGGGAGCAAACAGGAUUAGAUACCCCCGUAGUC
rnacentral:rRNA from 1 species